GGAGACGUGGCCGAGUGGUUGAAGGCGGCGCUCUCGAAAAGCGCUAUACCCCCUUAAGGGGUAUCGGGGGUUCGAAUCCUCCCGUCUCCG
rnacentral:tRNA from 1 species